rnacentral:rRNA from 1 species
GACGAACGCUGGCGGCGUGGAUUAGGCAUGCAAGUCGAACGGUAGGGUGCUUUCGGGCACCUGAGAGUGGCGAACGGGUGAGUAACACGUAGGUAAUCUACCCUCAAGACGGGGACAACCCAGGGAAACUUGGGCUAAUACCGGAUGAGUGCGCUUUUGGGUGCAUAAAAGGUGGCGUAAGCUGCCGUUUGGGGAUGAGCCUGCGCCCUAUUAGUUAGUUGGUGAGGUAACGGCUCACCAAGGCGAUGAUAGGUAGGCGGCCUUAACGGGUGGUCGCCCACACUGGGAUUGAGAUACGGCCCAGACUCCUACGGGAGGCUG